rnacentral:ncRNA from 2 species
UAUGGUGAGGAGCGCUGCAGCGGUUGGUUCCGCGAGGCUCAGCAUAGGCGGGUAUUUGUCACAACGGCGCUCGUUCAUA